rnacentral:rRNA from 1 species
UACGUAGGGAGCAAGCGUUGUUCGGAUUCAUUGGGCGUAAAGGGUGCGUAGGUGGUCGGGUAAGUCUGAUGUGAAAUCUCCGAGCUUAACUCGGAAAUGGCAUUGGAUACUAUUCGGCUGGAGGUUUGGAGGGGGGACUGGAAUUCUCGGUGUAGCAGUGAAAUGCGUAGAUAUCGAGAGGAACACCAGUGGCGAAGGCGAGUCCCUGGACAACACCUGACACUGAGGCACGAAAGCUAGGGGAGCAAACAGG